CAAUAGCGUAUAUUAAAGUUGUUGCAGUUAAAAAGCUCGUAGUUGGAUUUCUGGUCGGAAGCUCCUGUCCUCUGAUGAGCGUACAAGUGCGUCCUACCAUCCUUCUGUUAACCUUUAAGGCUUUCGCGGCUUUCUAGGGGCUCAGAUAUUUUACCUUGAGAAAAUUAGAGUGUUUCAGGCAGGCUAGCGCCGGAAUACAUUAGCAUGGAAUAAUGGAAUAGGACUUUUGCCUCUUCUGUUGGUCAUGAGGCUCGAGUAAUGAUUAAUAGGGAUAGUUGGGGGCAUUAGUACUUAACUGUCAGAGGUGAAAUUCUCGGAUUUGUUAAAGACUAACUUAUGCGAAAGCAUUUGCCAAGGAUGUUUCCAUUAA
rnacentral:rRNA from 1 species